rnacentral:rRNA from 1 species
AUCUUACCAUGCAGUCGAGGGGUAACAGAUCUUCGGAUGCUGACGACCGGCGAACGGGUGAGUAACACGUAUGCAACUUACCCAUAACUCGGGAAUAGCCCAAAGAAAUUUGGAUUAAUACCCAAUAAUACAGGCGUACCGCAUGGUAUUCUUCGUUAAAGAAUAAUCGGUUAUGGAUAGGCAUGCGUUCUAUUAGGUAGUUGGUGAGGUAACGGCUCACCAAGCCGACGAUGGAUAGGGGAACUGAGAGGUUGUCCCCCCACACUGGUACUGAGACACGGACCAGACUCCUACGGGAGGCAGCAGUGAGGAAUAUUGGUCAAUGGACGAAAGUCUGAACCAGCCAAAUCGCGUGAAGGAAGAAGGUAUUAUGUAUCGUAAACUUCUUUUGUAAGAGAGUAAAGUGCACUACGUGUAGUGUAUUGCAAGUACCUUACGAAUAAGCAUCGGCUAAUUCCGUGCCAGCAGCCGCGGUAAUACGGAAGAUGCAAGUGUUAUCCGGAUUUAUUGGGUUUAAAGGGUGCGUAGGUGGUCUAAUAAGUCAGUGGUGAAAUCUCUUUGCUUAACAAGGAAAUUGCCAUUGAAACUGUUAGACUUGAGAAUGGACGAGGUAGGCGGAAUUCGUAGUGUAGCGGUGAAAUGCAUAGAUAUUACGAAGAACUCCAAUAGUGUAGACUGCUUACCAGACCAUAUCUGACACUAAGGCACGAAAGUGUGGGUAUCAAACAGGAUUAGAUACCCUGGUAGUCCACACAGUAAACGAUGAAUACUAACUGUUUGCGAUAUACAGCAAGUGGUCGAGCGAAAGCGUUAAGUAUUCCACCUGGGAAGUAUGCCGGCAACGGUGAAACUCAAAGGAAUUGACGGGGGCCCGCACAAGCGGAGGAACAUGUGGUUUAAUUCGAUAAUACGCGAGGAACCUUACCCGGGCUCGAACGAUAUUUGAAUACAUCCGAAAAGAUGUAGCUAGCAAUAGCAAAUACCGAGGUGCUGCAUGGGUUUCGUCAGCUCGUGCCGUGAGGUGUCGAACU